rnacentral:rRNA from 1 species
CUGGAAGAUUAAAUGAUGGGGUGCAAGCUCUUGACUGAAGUCCCAGUAAACGGCGGCCGUAACUAUAACGGUCCUAAGGUAGCGAAAUUCCUUGUCGGGUAAGUUCCGACCUGCACGAAUGGAGUAAUGAUGGCCACACUGUCUCCUCCAGAGACUCAGCGAAGUUGAAAUGUUUGUGAUGAUGCAAUCUCCCCGCGGAAAGACGGAAGACCCCAUGAACCUUUACUGUAGCUUUACAUUGGACUUUGAACAGAUCUGUGUAGGAUAGGUGGGAGGCUUUGAAGUGAGGACGCUAGUUCUCAUGGAGCCAACGUUGAAAUACCACCCUGGUGUGUUUGAGGUUCUAACCUUGGUCCCUUAUCGGAUUGGGGACAGUGUAUGGUGGGCAGUUUGACUGGGGCGGUCUCCUCCCAAAGUGUAACGGAGGAGUUCGAAGGUACGCUAAAUACGGUCGGAAAUCGUGUUGAUAGUGCAUUGGCAUAAGCGUGCUUGACUGCGAGACUGACAAGUCGAGCAGGUACGAAAGUAGGACAAAGUGAUCCGGUGGUUCUGUAUGGAAGGGCCAUCGCUCAACGGAUAAAAGGUACUCUGGGGAUAACAGGCUGAUACCGCCCAAGAGUUCAUAUCGACGGCGGUGUUUGGCACCUCGAUGUCGGCUCAUCUCAUCCUGGGGCUGUAGCCGGUCCCAAGGGUAUGGCUGUUCGCCAUUUAAAGAGGUACGUGAGCUGGGUUUAAAACGUCGUGAGACAGUUUGGUCCCUAUCUUCCGUGGGCGCUGCAAGAUUGAGAGAGCCUGCUCCUAGUACGAGAGGACCGGAGUGGACGCACCUCUGGUGUAUCGGUUGUCACGCCAGUGGCAUCGCCGAGUAGCUAAGUGCGGAAGAGUAACCGCUGAAAGCAUCUAAGCGGGAAACUCGUCUCAAGAUGAGUCUUGCCGGGGCUUGAGCCCCCUGAAGGGGUCGUUCGAGACCAGGACGUUGAUAGCUGGGUGUGGAAGCGCAGUAUGCGUUAAGCUAACCAGUAUAAUUGCCCGUGAGGCUUGACCCUAUAACUUUG